AUACGGAGGAUGCGAGCGUUAUCCGGAUUUAUUGGGUUUAAAGGGUGCGUAGGCUGUGCGUUAAGUCAGGGGUGAAAUGCCGUCGCUCAACGACGGAGCUUCCCUUGAUACUGGCGUGCUGGAGUACGGAUGCCGUUGGAGGAAUGAGUGGUGUAGCGGUGAAAUGCUUAGAUAUCACUCAGAACACCGAUUGCGAAGGCAUCUGACGAAUCCGUCACUGACGCUGAGGCACGAAAGCGUGGGGAUAGAACAGGAUUAGAUACCCUGGUAUUCCACGCCGUAAACGAUGAUGACUAACCGUCGGCGAUAGACAGCCGGUGGCCAAGCGAAAGCGAUAAGUCAUCCACCUGGGGAGUACGUCGGCAACGAUGAAACUCAAAUGAAUUGACGGGG
rnacentral:rRNA from 1 species